ACUGCUCAGUAACACGUGGAUAACCUACCCUCAGGAGGGGGAUAACCCCGGGAAACUGGGGAUAAUACCCCAUAGAUCAGGGACGCUGGAAUGCCCCGUGAUUCAAAGGUCCGCCGCCUGAGGAUGGGUCUGCGGCCGAUUAGGUUGUUGUUGGGGUAACGGCCCAACAAGCCAUUGAUCGGUACGGGUUGUGAGAGCAAGAGCCCGGAGAUGGAUUCUGAGACACGAAUCCAGGCCCUACGGGGCGCAGCAGGCGCGAAAACUUUACAAUGCGAGAAAUCGUGAUAAGGGAACCCCGAGUGCCCGUAAAUUCGGGCUGUCCGCCAGUGUAAAUAACUGGUGAAGAAAGGGCCGGGCAAGACCGGUGCCAGCCGCCGCGGUAAUACCGGCGGCUCGAGUGGUGGCCACUAUUACUGGGCUUAAAGCGUCCGUAGCUGGAUUGUUAAGUCUCUUGGGAAAUCCACCGGCUCAACCGAUGGGCGUUCAGGAGAAACUGGCAAUCUAGGGACCGGGAGAGGUGAGAGGUACUCCAGGGGUAGGAGUGAAAUCCUGUAAUCCUUGGGGGACCACCUGUGGCGAAGGCGUCUCACUAGAACGGCUCCGACAGUGAGGGACGAAAGCUGGGGGAGCAAACCGGAUUAGAUACCCGGGUAGUCCCAGCUGUAAACGAUGCGCGUUAGGUGUAUCGGUGACCACGAGUCAUCGAGGUGCCGAAGGGAAACCGUGAAACGUGCCGCCUGGGAAGUACGGUCGCAAGGCUGAAACUUAAAGGAAUUGGCGGGGGAGCAC
rnacentral:rRNA from 1 species